rnacentral:rRNA from 1 species
GAUGAACGCUGGCGGCGUGCUUAACACAUGCAAGUCGAACGAAGCACUUUGAAAGCUUGCUUUUAGAGUGACUGAGUGGCGGACGGGUGAGUAACGCGUGGGUAACCUGCCUUAUACAGGGGGAUAACAGUUGGAAACGACUGCUAAUACCGCAUAAGCGCACAGUGCCGCAUGGCACAGUGUGAAAAACUCCGGUGGUAUAAGAUGGACCCGCGUCUGAUUAGCUAGUUGGUGAGGUAACGGCUCACCAAGGCGACGAUCAGUAGCCGGCUUGAGAGAGUGAUCGGCCACAUUGGGACUGAGACACGGCCCAAACUCCUACGGGAGGCAGCAGUGGGGAAUAUUGCACAAUGGGGGAAACCCUGAUGCAGCAACGCCGCGUGAGUGAAGAAGUAUUUCGGUAUGUAAAGCUCUAUCAGCAGGGAAGAUAAUGACGGUACCUGACUAAGAAGCCCCGGCUAACUACGUGCCAGCCGCCGCCGUAACAC